rfam:Aedes albopictus isolate Foshan contig104732, whole genome shotgun sequence.
UUAGCCUAGUGGUUAAGGCCAUGGAUCGCCAAUCCGGAGACGGCGGGUUCAAUUCCCGUA